CAGAACACUCCCUGCAAUCUGUCCAUCAGCAGGAAAGGACCAUGUGCAAGGGAUCCUGCGCCAGGGGUGGGGGUUGUGUGUGUGUGUGGGUGUUGUGGGGGGCAUUGGAUGUGGAGAUUCUGAGCUGAGGCCACUUCUCUGCUGAAAGAAAGGCGCACAUUGACUCAGCAUCUGCCACCAACCUUCUCCAAAGCCAGGGACAUCACAGUAGACCUCAGAGGCCACUGAGGUCAGGGACCCUAAUCUCCAAGGGAGCAGGAUGUCUUGGAGAUUGUUUGGGUCCUUCGGUUCACAAAGCUAUCAGUGAGUACUGUGCAUGACUAAUGUGCCAGUCACUGCUAAAUAAAGGCUCCCCGUGGCUCCUCGCGCCAACUCAUAAAACCCUCUAUGAUAACGCACUCAGGGAACACACUCAGCAAGGUGGAGUUUCUUCUGCAAACUGGAACAGGAGGUAAGUGGCAGAGCCAGGAUUUCUGGCUCACCUUUGUAAAGUGAGUGAUCAAAUGAAGGAAUGAAUCACUGAACAAAUGACAGCUGUUGCUGAUGGCCAGCCCUGGCCAUGCUCCUUCCCUGCUCUGCCGCAGUUUGGGAAAGAGAAGCCGGGAGUUUCCUGGCCCCAAGGAACCAGCUGUCUGGACACUGGCUGUUCAAGCCACAGUGAGGAAAGAUCCAAUAGAAGAUAAAAGAAAGCGAGACAGAAGGAACAGCAAGGAGAGAUGGAAACAGAGAGAAAAGGCAGAACUGGCUCCCAGCACACUGCAGAGGAUCACCACUCUCCCCACAGCUCUCCCCUCCACCCCCAGGAGGACGGGAGGCCGCACCUGGACUGACUGCAAGCUCGGUGCAGAGACCAUUUCUAUAGAGUUACAAUCCAGGGCCUGUGAAGACAGACCACCUGCAGGGGAGAAAGAAGCAGAAAAGGCCAGAGCUGCUGCAAGAGAAGGCAUCACUCUGGAGACAGCUGCUGGGUCCGAAUCCCACCUCCACCCCUCAAAGCCAUGAGAGGUGGGAGACAGCACAUCAACUCUCUGAGCCUCAGUCUCCUCUUCUGCAGAGGAGGAAUAGCAAGUGCUGAACAGAAUCUACCCCACGGAGCAAACGAAGACUCAGGAACUUAUUUGUGCAGAAUGCUGAGUGCAGCAUGUGCUCACUACAAGUCCCUCUAUUAUGGUCACACUCUGAAACUUCCCACCUUAAAAAUGACAAAUGGAUCAGAAAGAGAAACCCCAGGAGCAAGCACAAUUCGAGUAGCUACAGCUUUCUGCCUGGGGCCACCCACCAAAGUUCUGAUGCUGAGACCUUGGAAAAUGUGGCCCUCUUAUUUCUGGAGGCCCGACCUGCUUCUCAUGGCUCGUACCUGGUCCUGCUGCCUUCAGGUGCCACAGCCCCACACAUCUGCAUGGACUGCUCCCCCUUCCUGGCUUUGGAGAAAGUUGCCCAGGUGUCUCAGCCUUUGCCCAUCUGCAACUGAGUGCUCCCUGUCAGGCCUGACCAAUGGGCCAUCUGUAAAUCACUGCUGAGUGAUUCAUAAUCCAACAGGAGCCACUGCCCCUCCCUAACAUCUGGAAAGUCAGGAACAGACCUCCUCCCAGUGCUCUGCAGACUAUAAGCAGAUGUUUUGGGAAAAGAAGCCUCUAAGGACAAAUCGGGUGGGGCGACCUCAGCCUAAACUCUCUUGCAGGACUCCUCAGAGCCUUGACCCUGUCAGUGUGUGUUGUGAAUUUACAAGAAGAAGAGAGCUGGUUGGGGAGGUGUCCCAAACUAAUUGGAUCAAGAAGCUAGAGGGAAAAGGCCACUAUGAGGCCUCUUUGGGGUGGAAGAGGGGGACAGCUGAAAGAACUAGAGGGUGAAAGCCCAAAGACAGUUUCAGUUGAGCUGUGAAAUCUCCAACGGAUGAUGUUACUCCUUUGAGACUGCUUUCUUAUCUGUAAAAUGGAAUGGCUCCUCUCCCAUUGGGCUAUUUUAGGGAUAAAGCAAGUGACUAGAUAUGAAGCUGGCAGACAGUGUCCCCAAGCUGAGGACAGUGUGGUCAGGGAGACCUCAGCUGAAGGUGUCACACAGGGUGACUGCAAGAUCAAAGGCACUGAGACCAGAGAAAGGCCAUGAGUGACUGGCCUGAGGUCCCACAGCUAGCAAGGGAGGAGCCAGGACCAAACCCAGGCCUGCCUGGCCCCAGGCCAGUGCUCUUUCCACACUCACAUGUCCCUCACUACAGCAAAGGUCACCUGGCCUAUCAAACUGUUCCCUUGGAGGCUGAGUCCUGUGGCCAAGGAGAGCCAGUCCCAGCCAGCAUGUCAGUCCUUACCACGCCUCUGACCCAGAGCUCAGCACUGAAUCUCAGCAAUGCCACAAUCCUACAGAAGGACCCAAUUGCAAAUUCUACUUAUUAUGACCCCAAAGACCAAGCAAUGCAAUGUGUUGUAAAGAAUAAGGGACAGGCUUUAAAGACAGAGCCAGUUGACAUCACAUUGAGCACCUGCCCUUCCUAAGUCCCUGACCUUAUGUAACUUACUUCACUUCUCUGGAACUCUAUUUACUCAUCCUCACAAUGGGUACAGCCUCCCACAAAGGGUUAUGAGGGUGGAUCAUGUAAAUCAUGUCUAGCAGAGGCUGUCUUUGUGGUGAAUAUGAGCAGAUAUCAAUUGCAUGAUCAUCAUCAUCAUCAUCAUCAUCAUUACUGGCAUUGUUACGCUUUGUCUCAGAACAGUGGGUCCAGGACCUGAGCCCUCCCUGUCUCUCCUUCAGCGAGAGAUGAGUGGAGUCUCUGGUGAUCCAGGCAAACAGGGAGCCCUAGAGAGCCCCUGGUGGACCCCAUUAGGCAAGUUGUAGCCCCCAAGCCUCAGUUUCCUCAUCUGUAAAUGGUGUAACCGCAUCUGCUCCAGGGGAUGUUGAAACAGCCGAAGCUCUUACAAUGGUGCCUGGCACCUGGGAAUCACUGAAUAAAUGUCAGCCACUGCUGUGACUUAGGGGAAAGAGGCCAAAAGAGAGGAGAGGCUCCCAUGGGGCCUCUCAGCAUGGGAGUGGCCCGGCCACUCUGAAGCCCAGGUCUCCCGCAAGACCCAGCCUCCCCCCUUUCUCCGCCCUCCCAGGACACUGGGCUGCUCUGCAGCUCUGCCCUUUAGCCAUGGCCAUUUCGGGGAAUUCAUUUUAAAAAAUUGUUUACAUCCCAGAGCAGCUAUUCCAGCUUAAUAAAUGAAUUCAAUAUCCCUGAGGAAGAGCCCAGCAGCCUGCACUUCUGCACGUAGGGCUUCAGGUUGGUGUCUCACUGGUGGGGCAAGCAAGUCCCAGCCUGGUGUCACGAGAGGGCCUGAUGUGUGGAUGCUGCUCAGCCUGCAGCUCUCUCCCUGACUUCUGCUUCUGACAUUUGGCUUGCGGGGCUGUGCCUGGGGACCCCUUGAGUGACCUGACUGCUCUCCACUCUGGGUGCCCCUGCCUAGAAUUCUUGCCCACCUGUAACACAUCGGUGCACUUGCCUGGUUCUUCAUUUCUUGGAAAGACAACAUGAAAGCAUUCCUCAUGCAGUUGCUUUAAAGCAAGUGGAACAGGCAUGCCCUCCACAAAGCCCUGGACUGUGGAGGGUCACUGCUCUGUAGCAACAGCAUCACUGACACUGGUAUCACAGGCCUUCUGUUCUCAGGGUCUCACCCCAGUGUGGAGAGCAUCUGGCCACCUCCCCCUGUCCCUGGAAGGGUUAACCUUGCUGGUGAUGGUGCUGAGUCCCGGAAGAAAGACCUUGUCACUGUUGGUACUGUCUCUCCUUCCAGUGGACAUGCUGGCUCCUCAAGUUCCAGCCCCACUCAUUCAGAGCCUGAUGUCUUUAUUAUGGCAGGUGGGAGCUGCUGGAGGAACAGCAGUCUCCUUUAUCACCCCAUUAUGGCCCCCUUUGGCUUAUAUAUGGGCUGCCUAUCUCAUAAUUAGGAAGCAGGUUAACAAGAAGUAGCUGGCAAAUCCCAUGGAAGACAAAUAAAUUAAGCACCUCACUGGCCUGUGGGAAAAGAAAACACCAGG